GAGGGCCGGGGCCUAGGGAGGGGCGGUGUCGUAGGGCGGAGCCCGGAGCUCGGCCCCUGACGAGCCCGAACUCGUCAACUUCCUGUCGGUACUUGAAGAAGCGGAGCCAGGGCUGAGAUCCCGAAGGCGGGCGAGGUCUGGGAUGGGGCGGGGCCUAUGGGAGCGGGGCUGAAGCCCUGGGCCCGGCAGAGGAAGGUCGAGAUGGACCAUGUUGGGCCCCUUCUCUCCCCGCCCCCAGGCCGCAGUUCGGGGGCCACGCCCCGGCGUGCUCGGGUCACCGCGGGAAGCCCUUGAACCCCCUGGCGCCCGGCACCCACGUGCGGUAACCGCGGCUCCUCGAGAGCUCCAGGGAUGCGGAUCUACAGUAAGGGCUGUGGCCAGAUGAAUGAAUGCACAUUUUUUAGUGGGCAGAAAGAUGUUAGAAUUCAUGAAUUAGAAUAAGCACAAAGGAGGGCGAGAGGGGAGGCCGUGGAAGCCGCAUUCCUCCCCUUGCCUUGGGCGCCCACCCCCGAAGGGGCGCGUCCCCUCCCUGCUCCACUGCACGUGGGUGUUUAACCAGGGGAUAUCCAGUGCCUCAAGCACCACGACCCGGGAGAAAACUGAGUUGAGAAGGUCUUCUAACAAGCCUUUUGCACACCUGCCAUGUAUUUUGUCAGGCCUUGGGGAUGAAGGUGAGAAAUUCGAGAAUCCCCGGAGAUAACACAUCAGCAAAUAGUGCGCAGGCAGAACAAGCUGUUGGAGGUGAGAGACACAGAGCAGAGAAGCACCCGCACCUGGAGAGUCAGGAGGGCCUCACAUCAGAACGCCUGAGCAAAUACAGUUUUGAAGGAUACUAAUUUUUUAAAAAGUUCAUUCACAUGAGUUAGACAAAGAGAAAGAAGCAGGACAUUCUAGGAAGAAGGAACGGCCCAGGCAAAAGCGACGCGUACAUUGGCGUGGGUCCAUUCAAGAAUUGUGCCCACAAUAUACCAGGCACUUGUCCAGACCUGCAUCGUCCAAUGCCCACCUCGACCUCCCAAAGUGUUGGGAUUAGAGGCGUGAGCCACCGCGCCCUGCCUGCAUGUGGCUAUUGAGAUGUGCUGUAUGAUACACACCGGACUUUGAAGACUCAGUGUGAAAAAUAAAAAGAAUUUUAAGAGGGGUGGGGGUCGAGGGGAGGCAGAGCAGUAGGACAAAUAGCUAAUGCACGCAGGGCUUAAAACCUAGACAACAGGUUGAUGGGUGCAGCAAACCACCAUGACACAUGUUUAUCUAUAUAGCACCUACAUGUUCUGCACUUGUAUCCUGGAACUUAAAAUUAGAAAAAAAAAAUAAUAAAAGCCAACAUGGCAUUCAUUACUGCCAAAAAAAUUAAAACACAUUGUUAAUUUUG